GACGAACACUGGCGGCGUGCUUAACACAUGCAAGUCGAAAGAGGGGCGAACGGGUGAGUAAUACGUGAGUAACCGGCCCUCUUUGUGGGAUAAGCCUUGGAAACGAGGCCUAAUACCGGAUAAAGGGGGAUGGGCUCGCGGCCUAUCAGCUUGUUGGUGGGGUGAUGGCCUAACAAGGCGGUGACGGGUAGCCGGCCUGAGAGGGUGACCUGCGACAUUGGGACUGGGAUACGGCCCACACUACUACGGGAGGCAGCAGUGGGGGAUAUUGCACAAUGGGCUAACGCCUGAUGCAGCGACGCCGCGGGGGGGAUGAAGGCGUUCGGUUUGUAAACCUCUUUCGCUAGCGAACGGGUAGGUGGAGAGGAAGCGCCGGCUAACUACGUGCCAGCAGCCGCGGUAAUAC
rnacentral:rRNA from 1 species